GGGGAGAACUUUACCCUGAAUGCGGGCCGUUGAAUACGAAACCUUGAGUUUGAUCCCUGGCUUCAGGAUGAACGCCGGGCGGCGUGCCUAAAUACAUGCAAGUCGAACGAGUUCCUGAUUAUUGAAAGGUGCUUCCAUCUUGGAUUUAAUUUUUGAACGAAGUGGCGGACGGGGUGAGUAACACGGUGGGUAACCUGCCCCUUAAGUGGGGGGAUAACAUUUGGAAACAGAUGCUAAUACCGCAUAAAUCCCAAGAACCGCAUGGUUCUUGGCUGAAAGAUGGCGUAAGCUAUCGCUUUUGGAUGGACCCGCGGCGUAUUAGCUAGUUGGUGAGGUAACGGCUCACCAAGGCAAUGAUACGUAGCCGAACUGAGAGGUUGAUCGCCCACAUUGGGACUGAGACCACGGCCCAAACUCCUACGGGAGGCACCAGUAGGGAAUCUUCCACAAUGGACGCAAGUCUUGAUGGAGCAACGCCGCGUGAGUGAAAGAAGGCUUUCGGGUCGUAAAACUCUGUUGUUGGAGAAGAAUGGUCGGCAGAGUAACUGUUGUCGGCGUGACGGUAUCCAACCAGAAAGCCACGGCUAACUACGUGCCAGCAGCCGCGGUAAUACGUAGGUGGCAAGCGUUAUCCGGAUUUAUUGGGCGUAAAGCGAGCGCAGGCGGUUUUUUAAGUCUGAUGUGAAAGCCCUCGGCUUAACCGAGGAAGUGCAUCGGAAACUGGAAAACUUGAGUGCAGAAGAGGACAGUGGAACUCCAUGUGUAGCGGUGAAAUGCGUAGAUAUAUGGAAGAACACCAGUGGCGAAGGCGGCUGUCUGGUCUGUAACUGACGCUGAGGCUCGAAAGCAUGGGUAGCGAACAGGAUUAAGAUACCCUGGUAGUCCCAUGCCGUAAAACGAUGAAUUGCUAGGUGUUGGAGGGUUUCCGCCCUUCAGUGCCGCAGCUAACCGCAUUAAGCAUUCCGCCCUGGGGAGUACGACCGCAAGGUUGAAACUCAAAGGAAUUGACGGGGGCCCGCACAAGCGGUGGAGCAUGUGGUUUAAUUCGAAGCAACGCGAAGAACCUUACCAGGUCUUGACAUCUUUUGAUCACCUGAGAGAUCGGGUUUCCCCUUCGGGGGCAAAAUGACAGGUGGUGCAUGGUAGUCGUCAGCUCGUGUCGAUGAGAUGUUGGGUUAAGUCCCGCAACGAGCGCAACCCUUAUGACUAGUUGCCAGCAUUUAGUUGGGCACUCUAGUAAGACUGCCGGUGACAAACCGGAGGAAGGUGGGGAUGACGUCAAAUCAUCAUGCCCCUUAUGACCUGGGCUACACACGUGCUACAAUGGAUGGUACAACGAGUUGCGAGACCGCGAGGUCAAGCUAAUCUCUUAAAGCCAUUCUCAGUUCGGACUGUAGGCUGCAACUCGCCUACACGAAGUCGGAAUCGCUAGUAAUCGCGGAUCAGCACGCCGCGGUGAAUACGUUCCCGGGCCUUGUACACACCGCCCGUCACACCAUGAGAGUUUGUAACACCCGAAGCCGGUGGCGUAACCCUUUUAGGGAGCGAGCCGUCUAAGGUGGGACAAAGGAAAGGGUGAACUUUGGAGAAGGAGCG
rnacentral:rRNA from 1 species